rnacentral:rRNA from 1 species
CAGUAGCCGCGGGAAAACGAAGGGUGCAAGCGUUACUCGGAAUUACUGGGCGUAAAGCGUGCGUAGGUGGUGGUUUAAGUCCGUUGUGAAAGCCCUGGGCUCAACCUGGGAAUUGCAGUGGAUACUGGGUCACUAGAGUGUGGUAGAGGACAGUGGAAUUUCCGGUGUAGCAGUGAAAUGCGUAGAGAUCGGAAGGAACAUCUGUGGCGAAGGCGACUAUCUGGGCCAACACUGACACUGAGGCACGAAAGCGUGGGGAGCGAACAGGAUUAGAUACCCCAGUAGUCCCUGUCUCUUAUAA